AGAGAUAGAAACCCAUAGAAGACAGACUAUAUUUUCUCUAAUAUUCUAUUUCUUAGAAAAAUGCUAGGUAUCUUCCACAUAAGUGAGUAAGAGACACCUCUCCCGUCAGGAAAAGAUGAACGUUGCGAUCUUCAGUCUUAACGGAGGAAGGACAGAUAGUAGCCUGAGACAACGAGACACAUUAGGUUAAAAAGUUCUUCAUAGCUAGAAGGAGAAGCACUGUGGUGUUGAUACAGCUAACAUAAAAGAAUUUUGAAAGGGUAUCUCAGAUGAAUUUUGGAGCUUUUAGACUAGGUUUGGAGUAUUUUUGGGACACAGAAGCAGUAAGCCUCCACGAUAGCCCCGCAUCAUAAAAGAUGGAUAACGCGAUAGUCACCGUGCUAUAGAGGCUGGAUCACAUGAUGGGCGCCGCACCGCAGAGGCUAGUCCCUGCAAUAGCCACCGUGUCGCAGAGGUUUUGUUUUUCGUAGUUACUUUCAAAUAUCAUAGAGGGACCUUUUAGUCUUUUCCCCUUUAAACCAUUCCCCUUGAUUUUGAAACCUCCCCAAAAUGUAUUAUUGCCUUUGUCGAAUCCCCAAGCCAUCUUCCCUUAAGCAAAAGAAAAGAGACUACCGAGGGUUUGAUGAUCUUUAGCUUCAAGGUUAGAUUUUACGCUAUGUCUUCUUAAAUUCAUGGUGUCUAAAACUAUUCCAAAUAUCAUGAGCUAAAUUGAGUUUUCUUUA